AAUAGUGUCAUCAGGACACAGCAAUGGUUCUGGAAAUCCAAUAGCAGCUUAAUAUAUUGACAAUUUUCUGUUAGUAUAUCAGCCAGAAUAUUACAUUCUCAAGCAAUUAAACCUUAUCUCCUGCUGUUUUUGAAGUCAUGAACCAUCAAAUUUCCUAUUUUUGUUAAUCAGCCUCUAUUCUUGAUUAUGAGUGCAGACAGCUAUGAGUGCAGACAGGGUGAUUUGGUAGAGAAAGUAUGUAAAGAGCCGACUAGAGAAGUUAUUCAAAUCCUCAUGACUUUAGGCAAGACCAUUUUCCUCAGAAGCAGUUCAGGACAUUUCUAGGACCUGGAGCAUAGUGGAUUCCUUUGCUGUAUGUGAAUCUAUAGAAAAGAAAGCUUAAAGGCAUAUCAGUUGAGAAAGAAAUCUUAUUAUAUAAUAAUCAUUGCAAAGUGAUCUUAGCAUUUAUGAACCAACUUUAAAACAAAAAAAAGUGUAAAAUGCAUAAAACAAAAAAUUAAAUUUUAAUAUCCAAUUACUUUUGGAGGUAUAUAAUGUCUAUUUUAUAUAUUAUUGAUCAAUGUGCAAAGUAUGUAGAAAUUGUAUAUUAAACUUUUAAUAUGUAUAAUUUGUGCACUGAAUAAAUACUGGGCCUUAGACACUACCAAGGGUUAUCUUUAACACUGAGACUGUAGCACUGCCAAAAGUAUAUUCUUUUUCUUCAGUGAAAAGCAUACCCGAUCCAAAAAAAAUCCAUAAUAGCUACCUUAUUGUGGUUAUGGUAGACAAUUAGAACUUUCUUUAAUAAACACAUUAUUAUAUUCUCUUCCAUUAUGUUUCAAUUUGUGAUUCUCCAUGGUAUUUUCUGUUGGCUCCAACUUCUAUCAGUGGGCACAUGUUGGCGAUGACUGACAGAGGCUGCUUUCAAUAGUCUUAUUCGCAACAACACCUCUUAGUUGAAGUCCCACAUGUAGUUUAGCCAUUAGUCAGCUCUUGGCAGCCUCAGAUGCCUUUGAGACAACAAUUCUCAUUCAUUGCUCUGUCAGUUUACUCAGGUAGGUUUAUUCAUGUCUUAAUGUAUAUUUUUAAAUUAUCCUUGAGAUUUCCUCUUU
rnacentral:lncRNA from 10 species